rnacentral:lncRNA from 1 species
AUUGGCAUCAAGAUUGUCCUCUAAUAGGCCUUGUCCUCUGGGGAAAGCAUGGUCUGCCCAUUCAAGGUACCUGUCUUCAAGCUCCUUCCUUUAGAAGAAAAUUACAUUUUUUAACUAGCUUACCUAGCAAUGUGUUUCCAUUAGUGUUUUUCUAUGUCCUUAGUUCUUGUUAAACCCAUCUCUCUCCUCUCCCAUGUUCACAUUGUCCCACUCUACUUUCAUAUCUUGGAUGUUCUUCUAUAUUUCACCCAUCAGGAUCCCUCCUCUUCCCUCGCUCUAAGUAUUUACUUACUUACUUACUUUCUUACUUUUUUAAGACAGAGUUUCUCUGUGUAGUCCUGGAUGCCCUGGAACUUACUUUGUAGACCAGACUGGCCUCAAACUUGGAGAUUCACCCACCUCUGCCUCCUGAAUGCUGGGAUUAAAGGUAUGCGCCACCACCAUUUAACUUCUAAGUUUUAUUUUUAAGGUAUGUUUUUAACCUCAUGUAGACCUUUGAGCCAUUAAUUUGAUAUCUUACUCUUUUAUUAAUAUCAGCAUAUAAAGCCAUAGUUCCUCUAAGUACUACUGAAACUAUAUUCCAAAAUGAUUGGAAAGCCAUGUUUUUAUUAUAGUUAAAAUCAAAAUAUUUUCUAUUUUUACUUACAACAUGUGGAAUGCAGUGUGAGCAAGAGUUGUUCAACAUCCUUAAUCAUCAGAGAAAUGCAAAUCAAAACAACCCUGAGAUUCCAUCUCACACCAGUCAGAAUGGCUAAGAUCAAAAAUUCAGGUGACAGCAGAUGCUGGCGAGGAUGUGGAAAAAGAGGAAAACUCCUCCAUUGUUGGUGGGAUUGCAAGCUUUUACAACCACUCUGGAAAUCAGUCUUGUGGUUCCUCAGAAAAUUGGACAUAGUACUACCGGAGGAUCCCACAAUACCUCUCCUGGGCAUAUAUCCAGAAGAUGUCCCAACAGGUAAGAAGGACACAUGCUCCACUAUGUUCAUAGCAGCCUUAUUUAUAAUAGCCAGAAGCUGUAAAGAACCCAGAUGCCCCUCAACAAAGGAAUGGAUACAAAAAAUGUGGUACAUUUACACAAUGGAGUACUACUCAGCUAUUAAAAAGAAUGAGUUUGUGAAAUUCCUAGACAAAUGGUUGGACCUGGAGGGCAUCAUCCUGAGUGAGGUAACACAAUCACAAAAGAACUCAAAUGAUAUGUAUUCACUGAUAAGUGGAUAUUAGCCCAGAAACUUAGUAUAGCGAGAUAUAAGGUACAAUUUGCAAAACACAUGAAACCGAAGAUGAACGAAGACCAAAGUGUGGACACUUUGCCCCUUCUUAGAAUUGGAAACAAUCACCCAUGGAAGGAGUUACAGAGACAAAGUUUGGAGCUGAGACAAAAGGAUGGACCAUCUAGAGACUGCCAUAUCCAGGGAUCCAUCCCAUAAUUAGCCUCCAAACGAUGACACCAUUGCAUACACUAGCAAGUGUUUGUUGCAAGGACCGUGAUAUAGUUGUCUCUUGUGAGACUAGGCCGGGGCCUAGCAAACACAGAAGUGGAUGCUCACAGUCAACUAUUGGAUGGAUCGAGCUUAGAGCAAAAGCUUCUAAAAUCAAGAAGAAGAAAAAGCUUUUUCAGAGUCAUUCCAGGAUCCCAUGGAGUUGUGACUAGAUAAGACACUUGGCUGCUCUGAGACGAAAAUGUCUUACGGAUUGGCAGAUAAGGAAGAGCUCUGACUGCCUGUCCCUAGUCAUGGAAGGGAGUGAUAAGCAGACAUAGAAGUAAGGACCUGCAAGAGGAACACACCUUCACACUCCUAUAAGGUACUAGUCUAAAAAUUACUUUUGUAAAUGAGGUAUCUUAUGUUGGAAAAAAGUGAAGCACAGACAAUAUAAUACCAGUAAAAGCUCUUUAUAAACUGCAAAGUAUGCAUGUCAAAUAAUGUGGCUUGAAUUUAUCAGAUAAAAGCAAGAGAUUCAGCAUCACUAAGAGCAAAAAUGUGUGAAAGACUAUGAAAAGGAAUAAAGUGGGAGCUUGCAUCUUUAGUGUCCAAAGUACAAGCCCUGUUGCCUGGAAUUCUUCAUUAUACAAACCUUUAUUCAAUGAGCGUCUGCUGACAGGGUUGGACAACACAAAGUCAAUCCCCAGGAGUCACGUGACAGAAAGAACCAACUCUUGCAAGUUGACCUCUGACUUCCAUAUAGUGGCCGUGCCAUGUGCAUCCCUACCAGGUACACACAACUAAAUAAAAUAAAUUAUACUUUGAUUAAAGACGUUCAAUAGAAUGAGCAGCAUGCUAGAAAUUUGUGUGAGUUUUGUUCAUUUGUUUUUUAAGUGUUGUCCUGGGACGUGAAUCCAGUAAAUCCGUAGUAGGCAAAUACUUUAUCACUGAAAUACAUUCGAUACUUUACUACCUCUAAGUGAUCAUAGCUCCUUCAUAGUGGCCUUUCUGUCCCCAGUUAUUGCUAUCUCCACUUGGGAAUGUGAUGAUCUAACAAAAUCUUCACUGGGCUUCAUCACAAAGCCCAGUUUUGUACCCACGUCACCAAUGUGCCUUGGAAAGUUGAGGAAAGUCACUGAAACCAAUCCAUAAUAUAGAUCCUCAUGGUUUCUAAACCUAAUUCCUGCUGUUUUUAAGACAAAAUGCAGAGCCCUAAAAUCUAAUCUAGAAAGUACUUUGUGAACCUGGUAGAACAAUCUGAAUUUAGAGUUCAAAACCUGUAUGUUUAAAACAGCAUACUGUGGACCUAAAUCUGAAGCAAGGAUGAACAGCCACAGUAUCGA